GCUAUAGUGAUGGCAGCCCUUUUCUUGCUCUGCUGUGUACCACUUUUUGCUUGUUGCUGCCUUAGAUGCUGCCAGUGUCUUCCUUGCUUGAGAAGACAACCAAAAGAGUUGGCAGAAAUUAAAAAGAAGCAAAAAGAACACGAAGAAACCCUAGACGAACUGGGUGAACUGUUAGAGGUGGAUCUAGAAAGAGGAGAACUAGAUGAACUCCUGAAGGAGGUUACAGCUGAGCUGGCG